GAUGAAGAACGAAGCGAAAUGCGAUAAGUAAUGUGAAUUGCAGAAUUCAGUGAAUCAUCGAAUCUUUGAACGCACAUUGCGCCCGCCAGUAUUCUGGCGGGCAUGCCUGUUCGAGCGUCAUUUCAACCAUCAAGCCCCCGGGCUUGUGUUGGGGACCUGCGGCUGCCCGCAGGCCCUGAAAACCAGUGGCGGGCUCGCUGUCACACCGAGCGUAGUAGCAUCAUCUCGCUCAGGGCGUGCUGCGGGUUCCGGCCGUUAAAAAACCUCUAAUACCCAAGGUUGACCUCGGAUCAGCUAGGAAGACCCGCUGAACUUAAGCAUAUCAAUAAGGGAGGA
rnacentral:misc_RNA from 1 species